rnacentral:tRNA from 1 species
GGUUUUAUAGUCAAAAAUGAUUUUAAAUUGCAAAUUUGAAGGUAAAGAAUUCUUUUAAAGCCU